CGUGUUCGGUCGAAGUAGCUCGCGCGUGACCGUGUGUUUGUGUGCGCACCCCACCGGAAGUUAAACCGUAAGGGGCUAACGUGGCAAGGGAAGUCGCGCCUCGAAACCGUCGUUCGGCCGAGGAAAAAAUGGAAUUACCUGAAAUUUCCGACGGUAAUUGGGUUAAGCGCCGCUUAACCGGUCUCCUCCGCCGGAUACACCGCGCUGAAGAUGCACUUCUUCGCUUGUAUCCCUCUGAAAUCCAAUUCCGGCCCGCCGGUUCGAAAGUGGAGCGUACGGGACCCUGUGCUAGGGUCGUGGCGCGGUGAUUUCCCGAGAAAAGGAACCGAAUGUGGUUUUCGAUUCGCCAGCAUGGCGGCGUUCGAGGCGGGUCUAAUAGAAAAUUGAACGCGGUCCGAUUAUCCUCGGUCGGUAAGCCUCUUAUCCAUAUAGCGAGUGGCACGGAGUGGCCCGUAGACGGGACCACCGGCAGCAAGAGUGGAAGGACAAAACGAACACCAGCACGACCUCUGUGAAACGGACGCCCCAGAGCGAGGGAGAAAACCGGAGACACGGGAGACGAAUCGAGGAAUUGAUCAUUUUACGAGGAUGCUUGCUCGUCGUUGGCCAGGAUCACGUAUCGGAUGGAUCCGAGACGGAGGGAAAUGGCUGACAGGGUGACUGGUUCGGAAGGGAAAGCCGUGUUCCGAGCACGGAGGAAAGGGCCCGUGGUGAAAGAAGGAUCGGCACGACGAAGGAAUUAAGGUGUAUGUCGGAGCCUGCGCAGCGGAUUGAUCGGCCGAAAGAAACGGUGUCAACGAGAGGCAAUCGGUGGACGGGGGUAAUGCGCUCGAGUGCAUUAAACGAGACAACGCAAAAGGAACGGGCGAAAAAGAGCAGAGGGAGCGCAGCGGGGGUGACGGGGCGAACGGAAGUCGUAGACGGACAGCGAGAGCGGGGCUGGAGAAGAGAGAGAAGAGGGAGAGAACACGGAGAGAAAGAGAGAAUGCGAUUUCGUAAAUAGAAUCGUCGUUCGAAACAGACACCGAGGUUCGAUGCGCGAAGAAAUAGGAGAAAAGGGAGAGAGAGGGGACCGAAGAAGGUCGGAACAAAGGUGGAUAAUGGAAGGGAUCGAAGAGGGGGUGAGGUAGGAAGAGGAGAACAAAUCUAACUUGUCCUGGUGUAGAGCGGAGCUGGUGGCAGUCUUGGUCGAGCAGCCCUGUCCGCUAUCCGCCUUCGACUCCGUCAGCCACGGAAUUUGCAACGCCAUCGCAUUGAUUGCACCCCGGAGCGAAUUGCAUCCGCAGGCAGGGCGCUGAUCCCCGACAAGGCGACGGAACACCGAGGCGCAACGGUGAAAUUGAUGACGCGAGUAUAGGCGCGUUGGGCUGGCACGGGCCGAAUGCGAAACGAGACAGUCGCCGGUCGCUCGCUCUCUGCCGGCCUGUACAUAAAUUCUUCUAAAUCAAUUCGGCGCGAACGCGACUGCCGUAAUUUUUAUUAAACCGGCACAAGCCUGUGCACCCUUAUGAAAAUAUCGAGUAAGCUGCGCGACGCGUGCGACAGGCAUAAAUUCACCCUUCUACGCGUAUAUUAGUUUCCUUCUGGAGAGGAGUAAACGCGAAGGAGGCAAGAACGCGCGCGGAUCGAAGCGGUUUUUCGCUGUGCCUAGUCGUAUCGUGCGUGGCUUAAUCGAUAAACGAUAUUGCGGUGGUUCGUUGGUUUGCAGCCCGCAGAAAUUCGCCGUCCGCCACGACCGUUCCAAUGCCGGCAGGGACGAUAUUAACGCGACCACGAAAACCCGAAAUUAAUAAUAUUAUCAUAAUUAAUUACAGCCAACUCGCGUUCAUCGAUGAUUUCGCUAAGAAUUAAUCGCAAAUCCCGCGGGGCGGUUUGUUUCCGGGUUGAAUUUCAGGUUUCGUUUCAGAGGGUGCGAAAUAUUUUCCGUUCCCAUCGCGUAGCGUUUAUUUUCGGCAACGAACAGGUGGCAAAGUUCGAAAUUUUUAAGCUAAACGAACUGUACGACGUAGAUAGAAAAUUGAACGCGAUAAAUUUCGAAGAAGACGUGACGCGUUCGCGGAUCUUUCCUUCUGGGAUUUCGAAGGAAAAGUCGUCGUUCCUACCUUACCGACGCAACUCGGAACUGCAACGCGGCGUUAUCUUGCGACGGAAUGGUGGACUUGCACUCGUGGGAGGUAGUGCCAUCUGGCGCCGGAGACCUGCACCACGGCGGGAGUUCAAAGAUGUUGCAAAGUGGAAGCGUCCAGGGCUGAUCCAGUUAGCCGACGCCCUUGCCGCGUACGUGCAGGGUGGCGCGCGGGCGAAAGAAGGGUGGCCGAGGACGUCGUUGGAAUAGCAAUGCUCGCCAUUUCACUGAUCCGCGUGUUGUCCAUGGGCUCGCUUUCUCUCCCGCGACGCCAUAUUUUCGACCCGUCCAGUUUAUAUCCAGCAUUACGCCGAGACUUCCGGGAUGAGGGCAAAACGCGCCGCUGGCCAAGCCGAAUCGCCAUUCGCGGCAACCAGUCGUCAGCCUCUUUGUCUCUUCCUGGUAUUGCGACAGAGGUAAAGGACGAAGGGAAUCCCGCUUUACCAGAGAUUAGGCGUAUCUUUGUAGAUUUUCUCCUCGCGUUGAAGCUCUUCGCGCGAGAUCUCACGCUGUCAUGCACGUUUCGAAGUGCAUAAAAUAAGGAGACUUUCUCAGAUUUUUGUCUAAUUUCAUCGUGGAUGGGAUAGGUGCGCUAUUUAAUUACCUCGACGCGUAAUUUUUCGUAAUUAAAUCGUAUAUCAAGGGGUUAGGUUAGAUUCCGAAAUCCGCAAAUCUGCCACGAGUCACGCGAUAUCAAAAUAAACAAAGAGUCUAUUGUUUGCUCGCACACUCAGGAUCUUCGUUAGAAGCUUCUGACAGGAUUUGCGAGUUCGUUUCGUUGGAGACGUCUUCCAGUAUACUACUAAACCGAGGAACUUAACCGAGUGUAUUUAUUAAACCGUCAUCCCCUCAUCGGUGACGGGCAUUAGCGUGUCAAUGAGCGAAAUCACGGGUUCCGAUUGAAACUGUGCAAGUUCGUCGACACUCCCGCGAGAAAAAUAUACGCAUCCGACGCUGGAGCGCGUUUAGAGUGCACGCGAGAGAUUCUUGAAGAACACGAGGAGUUAUCUCCGGACACGCGUUUAGAUGCCCGGAGCAUAUUCUCGCGUUUGCCAGGCACUCUCGGCGCGGAGCGUCUCUGGAACGCGUAAUUCUCCGUUAAUUAACGAUAAAGACGUGGAAAUUGUUGGAAGAGGGUCGGGAAAGGAGAGAUCGAUCACCGUCCAGCCUUAGUGUCCCGGCAGAUGGCUUUCUUUCCGUCGUUUUCCCGACAAUAACCGUGCCGACUGGUAUACCGAGAUUACCCGGCCAGCUAAGUCCGCUUAUCCCGCCGCCGCGACGUCGUUAGUCCUCUCGCGAGAAGCGAAGAUUGAUGGAGCGUGUAAGGGCGUCGGCUCGUUCUCUCUCGGUUCCUCUGCUCCCUUGGCCUCUGCUUUUUCUCCAGAUCCGUUCCACCGACUCGCGACAUCGCUAUCCCGCGCUUUUCACGUCGUCGACCGGCUCGCGGUCGUUCUUUACUUGCCACCUGUAAUUUGCGGUUACUCGGCUUUGAUUCCGCUCCGAUCGCUUUUAUCCCGACGAACGCCGUCGCGACGCCCUCCUCCACCCCCGGCCGAUCGAUACCUCCACGCGGAAUCCAUCUUCGGACUGAAACGCGCGUGAAUUUUUUACGCCCUCCGCCCCAAUCGCGAUCCCUCGCGUGCGCCCCCUCCAUUUCAGCCGCGAUUACCUCGCAAUCAGCGGGCGUCGCUCGGCGGAUUCGCCGCGAUAAUUAGUCGCGACGAAUUCGACGAGCGGCAUCGAAGCACCGCACCGUCUAGACGAGCUCGGAGAGGACUUUCGCCGCUAACUCUUCCGCCAGGCGGGACGAGUCUGUCGGCUCGGGGGUGCGAGGCCGGGGGUGGCGUCUCGCAAACGACCCGUGGGAUAGUUCGCGUUCCCGAUCGAUUAUAACUUCGUUCGAAAUCCCCUAAUUCGACAAACAUGGCGCGUUUCGAUGGGCGGGAUUCGAAUCUCGACCCGAUUGCCGGUUCGCUGAUUAUCGCACGCUCGCCCGCGCUCGAAACGCUGAAAUUUGGCUCUCGCUUUGGCGGACGACAGCCCUCGCAGGUAUGUCGAAUGUACGUACGUAGAUUCGCGAAGGAAUCGCGUGGUUAUCUGCCCAGUCGAGGGCGUAUAAAACAUCCGAACACCCCAGAGCGGGAACCCGAAGCCGAUGGCGAUAUCGCGGGGAAAAAUAUAUUCAAAACGGGCGGUAAUCGAAUUCGGAUAAAGGGGGUCUGGCCUGGGUCGCGUUACACCGGCUAACGCGACAAUAGACGGGCCGAAAGGCAUUCCGUAUUCCCGAUAAUCGAAUUUCGCGUGUAACCAAGAAGCGGGAGGCUUGGGGCGUCGCAGGGCGGGCGGAAAGUAUGGAUGGGAGAGAGUACGCUCGGCGGGUAGAUUGCCGGAAGGGUGUCCAUGUAUCGGCGAUAAAUCGAAGCUCGUAGCGUCGCGACGCGGCUCGACGCGACGACUAUCGCUCGCCUCGUAAUGGCGCAGCAGGCAUGUAACGCACGUACCAUAAUAAAUUCCAGGCCACCUGAUUAUACGUGACUACGUCAAGCGGGCGGCGGCGGCGCCACCGUCGCAGCCGAGUAAAUUUGAAAUCUGUCACGUGGUUGAAUAACCGUAAUCAGGCCGGCUGAAAAUCGCUCACCACGUGACCGUAUUAUGCGAAUCGAUUUUGCGCCCGUUUGCACGCGUUUAACUUCUCUUGCACGUACACCGGGGAUCCGCGCGCGCUCAGCGCGUGUGUGCGUCGGCUGAACGCGGAGCGGAGAUGGAUAACGAAACGAGAAGCUCAUCGGCGGAAAAGCGUUAUCCGCGCGGGGGUCCGGGCUCAGUGAAAGCGCGCUCCUCCACGCUCCUCGAGACGAACCGUCCUCUUCGGCAUCCCCUCGUCCAAUUUGACGUCGCCCACCACCUAUCCCGACCGUGCUUCCUCCGAUGGAAGGAUCCACGAUGACGCGUUCUUCUCCGGUGCCGCGCGACCAUCGCGCAUCCUCGUUGCACGCCCUCUAUUGUCAGUUAAAAGCUGCGACGACGUUGCCACUUUCGGCGUAAUUUCGCGAGGAAACUACGCUCUGGGUCACGAGACGACUCCUCCGCUUAUGGAUUCCCGUCCGUCGAUCAAACCUCCGAUUCUGAGAGAGCGAAUUAAAAGUUUCGAAGAUUUCUUCUGGAUCGCUCGGAUCGAAAAGGCGGAGAGAUUUUUCGCGGUAGCUUGUUUGGUCGAUCGUAAACGGGGC